rnacentral:tRNA from 1 species
GCCGACUUAGCUCAGAGGUAGAGCAGCUGUUUCGUAAACAGCAGGUCACUGGUUCGAUUCCAGUAGUCGGCU